UACGGAGGGAGCUAGCGUUGUUCGGAAUUACUGGGCGUAAAGCGUACGUAGGCGGUUAUUCAAGUCAGAGGUGAAAGCCCGGGGCUCAACCCCGGAACUGCCUUUGAAACUAGGUAGCUAGAAUCUUGGAGAGGUCAGUGGAAUUCCGAGUGUAGAGGUGAAAUUCGUAGAUAUUCGGAAGAACACCAGUGGCGAAGGCGACUGACUGGACAAGUAUUGACGCUGAGGUACGAAAGCGUGGGGAGCAAACAGGG
rnacentral:rRNA from 1 species